UAAAACUGGGCAGAACAUGUGGGCAUGUUCUACUAUGCAAUACCAUAAUUGACUUUGGAAGAAACCAUUGCUCUUGCAGACAAGCCAGAAUCAGAAAAUAGUAAGUUACAGCUUAAGUAUAAACCAAUAAAUCCUGGUUCUGGCUGGCGUUUGUUUUGAGCAAAGCCAGUUCUUCUCUAAGUCAUGUGUAUUUAUUAGCUUGUUCAUCAGCCAAAUUCCAUUCUCCUCCUCCUCCCUUGUCUUGAAGAUAGGCACCAUUGCUGUACAAGGAAACAGCAAGAAAGUAUGUUGCUGAUGAUUUCAGCUUUCUGCAGCUCAGCUGACAGAAGCUGGUAUUUGUCCAGCUUCAUGAGGCCCAUUUUUAUAGUUUCCAGUGCCAUUCUUAGAUCCUGACACUGUUUAACAAUGCAAGGGCAGCAAGAUUUUUUUCCCCUCAUCCCAGGAAAUACAGCUACUUCUCUGGUGAGAGGUUACAAUUAGACAAUAACAAGUAGGCUGCAUAUCAGCAUUCAAGACCUUCUGCAUUUAAAAAAGAUUUCAGAUGGCCUUUGCAUGUAUAACUGCAUGAAGUUUGCCUGCUGAAUUUUGUCAGGUUGCAGGAACACUUACACCAGAUAUGGACUGUAAGGUUGGAGCUACACAGCAUCCAGAUCAGGUACAGACUUCCUGUUAAGAUUGCACUUCUGAACUGAACUUCAGUUUCUCAUUUUUCCAGUAGUUAACUCACUUUGUCUCUUUCACACCAAUCUAAAUGAAAAUUUGCUGUGAUUUUAAUAUUUGUAUUCAUGAACUAUAUACCUUUAUUGCAUUUUCAUUGUUUUUUGAACAGUCCUAAAGCUGGGAUUUUUAUGACUUCUCCUUUCUGAUAAAGUAGGAUUUGGAAUAAAGAAACCCAGCCAGAAAAAAAAAGCACAACAUGAAAGCAUAUUGACGUCCUUUGUAGAAUAUCUGAGAAGUUGCCUAUCAUUGCUGCUAUCUUCAGAGACCUUUCGGUGUUUCAGGAUCUUCAGAAAUAUAUUAUCUGUUCAACUUCCUUCCAAAGGGGUUACCUCUAAUGGACAUCUGCAAGAGAGUGAAAAUAUUUGGAUUGUAAAGAUCUGUUUUACUGUUUUAAGAUUUUUAAUCAUUUUGAUUGAUCCUAUAGUGUUAAUUCCUGCACUUCUGAAAAAAAGAAGUCAGUGCUGGAUAUAAAGUGAAGCUUUAAAAUGUUACGCUAUAAUUUAUUCUAUUUAUUGGUUGCCUGAGAAAAGAGGGAAUGAAUAGAGAUGCUUUAAACAUGUGACUUGUGUAAAAUAAUACAUCUUCAUUAGUAAAUACCUUAAUUGGUUUGAAGAUUGAUCAGUCCAGGUUUUUCUAAGAGGCUGAGCUCUUUCAUUGUAGCUGAGUAUGUUUCAAGCUCUCUGUUGUAACCUUUGAACUGAUUUAUGCAAGUGGCUUACUUUUAAAUAGGAUUAUUUCCAUCGUGCAAUGUUUGUUGAGGUUGCAUCAUAGGUGUUCUUUGUUUUCACAGAGAGCCAGAGUUAUAAAAGAAGAGGAGGGCAAAUACUGAAAGCCUUACACUGUUUCUUCAUUUGCCUUGAUGUACUCAUCUGCACAGAAAAAGACAAAGAGGAGACAGGAGAAGAUGGCAAUGCAAACUUAGCCAAUGACAGCCAUUUUGUGACUGGACAUACCUUGGGAGCCAUUUUCAAGGGCAUCCAUAACAUGUUCUCAAUACUCAAAAUGGCCCGGUUGGUCCCACAUAUAUUCACUUGACUUGCAGGCGAAGCCGGAAACAAUUAAGUACCCUGAGCUAUGCAUUAGAUUUAUAUCUGACUCUACUCUUUGCCAUCAGCUUCCCCACAAAUCAUGUGAACAUUUAUUUCUAGCUUAAUAAUAUACUUCACACAUCUCCUGAAGCAGAACAGACUACAGUAAGUCAUGCCAUAAUUACCAGUGUUUAAAGUUAUUAUAGCAAAUGCCGUUGUUUUGUUUCAGCUUCUUUGUAUAUUUUCCGAGAUGCCACAUUCAUCCUUGAAAUACGCCAAAUAGGCACAAUGGCUACAAUCAUAUGUUUUUUCCCUUUUCAUUUAUUUUAAAAGAAAACCAUUCAUUCUGCUUCUGAGGCCUGUUAUGCAGAUAGCUAGCAGAUGUCCAUCACUUAUCUCCAUGCCAAGAAAAGUUCUUUCUAAUUUAUUUCGGUCUGUCAGGCUGCAACAAGAGAAGGACCAGUAAACGGGAAGUUUGCUUUGCAAGCCAAAUUAUUCAAACUUGUAAGAAAAUAUUUAAGUUUAAAUUAAUGGACUGCCUGAAUGACACUAAUUCUGAAUAUUGCAUACAUACACACAGUAUUCAAAGGAUUUUAAAAAAAACACACAAGUGUUUAAAAAUUGGGUUGGCACCUGGCUUGCUGCAGGAAUUAUUAAAACAAAGGUUUAUUGUGCUAUUGCUCUCCUUAGUCAUGGAACGAUAUGGGGAUUCAGAAGUCAUUUAAGUCUUCUACUACUUAAUCUUCUUUUUUCUUCAAGAAAAAAAAAAUCAUGACAUUGAAAAAGACAGAAGAGAUGUCCUAAGUUUUUGGAUUGUUAAUGCCAGGAGGGAAAUUCAGCUUGCCUGCUUUAAGAACAUUAUUGGAAACAUGCACACACUAUACUUACAAACUUGAUAAAUAAGAAGAAUGCAUUGAAGAACAAGAAGAGCAAAAGUCAGCAAACAGAGAAUAGGAAAGAUAUCACUGAACUAUGCUAUAUAAAGAAAAGUACCACCCAAGUUUCUACUCUAUCCACAGAUGAUUCAAGUAAAUGCAAGUCCUGUGAGGGGCAAACAGUCCUGCAGCAGUCAGACAGGCGUCUCCUGCCCACUAAUGCUGAAAUCAGUUAUUGGCCCCAGGUCUGCCCAUCAGACCUUGAAAACGUUCUCCUGGUUCUGACAUUAGAUUCCUUUAGCUCCUUCUUCAACCCAACCUGAUCUACUAACUGGGCAAAAUGAUCUCAUCUGAAACAAGGAAGUCUGAGAAGUUCAGUCAUGAUUUCUGGACUGAUUUCAGCUGAUCGAAGGAUCUUACUUUCUUCAUGAUGUGUCAGCCAUUACACUCUCUAGUUGUACUUUAAUUGGCCAAGCUGUUUGAAGGACCACAUCUUUGGUGGUUGUCUUCAGAGUCCUUUUCACAGAUGUGACUGUCGAGGAAAAAGAAAAAACUCCUCCCUCAAGGAAGCCUAGAUAGCUCCCUAUUUUUCAUACUUUUGGCAAAUGGGAAGGUGUUUUUUUCAUCAAGAGUUUUGAUUAUUUUACUCUUUGGCACUGUUUAAUGGUACAAUCAUUUUAAUGCUGCUUGAGCAUUAAAUUUAAUGUUGCUUCCUCCCUCAUCUCUCUUACUAUCAAUGUAUUGGUCUUAUCUUAAUGUUAUUAUACAUUGUUUCCAUCUGUCAUAAGCCAUCAUGCAAACCUUUAUAAAGAACAGCAAAGAUAUUGAUUCUAAACCAUCAAUGAAUCAAACAAAGCUCCUAAAAACAAUGAACAAAAGCCUAUUUGUGAUAGUAAAAGGAAAACCUGGAAA